rnacentral:rRNA from 1 species
CGGGCGUUAAGUUGCAGGGUAUAGACCCGAAACCCGGUGAUCUAGCCAUGGGCAGGUUGAAGGUUGGGUAACACUAACUGGAGGACCGAACCGACUAAUGUUGAAAAAUUAGCGGAUGACCUGUGGCUGGGGGUGAAAGGCCAAUCAAACCGGGAGAUAGCUGGUUCUCCCCGAAAGCUAUUUAGGUAGCGCCUCGUGAAUUCAUCUCCGGGGGUAGAGCACUGUUUCGGCUAGGGGGCCAUCCCGGCUUACCAACCCGAUGCAAACUGCGAAUACCGGAGAAUGUUAUCACGGGAGACACACGGCGGGUGCUAACGUCCGUCGUGAAGAGGGAAACAACCCAGACCGCCAGCUAAGGUCCCAAAGUCAUGGUUAAGUGGGAAACGAUGUGGGAAGGCCCAGACAGCCAGGAUGUUGGCUUAGAAGCAGCCAUCAUUUAAAGAAAGCGUAAUAGCUCACUGGUCGAGUCGGCCUGCGCGGAAGAUGUAACGGGGCUAAACCAUGCACCGAAGCUGCGGC